rnacentral:rRNA from 1 species
CCUACGGGAGGCAGCAGUAGGGAAUUUUCGGCAAUGGGGGGAACCCUGACCGAGCAACGCCGCGUGAAGGAAGAAGGAAUUCGUUCUGUAAACUUCUGUUAUAAAGGAAGAAAGACGGAUGGUGGAAAUGACAUCCGAGUGACGGUACUUUAUGAGAAAGCCACGGCUAACUACGUGCCAGCAGCCGCGGUAAUACGAAGGUGGCAAGCGUUAUCCGGAAUGAUUGGGCGUAAAGAGGGAGCAGGCGGCAGAAAAGGGCUGUGGUGAAAGAGUGAAGAUUAACUUCAGUAAGCCAUAGAAACCGGGCAGCUAGAGUGCAGGAGAGGAUCGUGGAAUUCCAGGUGUAGCGGUGAAAUGCGUAGAUAUAUGGAGGAACACCAGUGGCGAAGGCGACGAUCUGGCCUGCAACUGACGCUCAGUCCCGAAAGCGUGGGGAGCAAAUAGGAUUAGAUACCCGAGUAGUC